AUUGAACGCUGGCGGCAGGCCUAACACAUGCAAGUCGAGCGGAUGAAGGGAGCUUGCUCCUGGAUUCAGCGGCGGACGGGUGAGUAAUGCCUAGGAAUCUGCCUGGUAGUGGGGGAUAACGUCCGGAAACGGGCGCUAAUACCGCAUACGUCCUGAGGGAGAAAGUGGGGGAUCUUCGGACCUCACGCUAUCAGAUGAGCCUAGGUCGGAUUAGCUAGUUGGUGGGGUAAAGGCCUACCAAGGCGACGAUCCGUAACUGGUCUGAGAGGAUGAUCAGUCACACUGGAAAUGAGACACGGUCCAGACUCCUACGGGAGGCAGCAGUGGGGAAUAUUGGAGAAAGGGCGAAAGCCUGAUCCAGCCAAGCCGCGUGUGUGAAGAAGGUCUUCGGAUUGUAGAGCACUUUAAGUUGGGAGGAAGAGCAGUAAGUUAAUACCUUGCUGUUUUGACGUUACCAACAGAAUAAGCAACGGCUAACUUCGUG
rnacentral:rRNA from 1 species